rnacentral:rRNA from 1 species
AGCGUUAUCCGGAUUUAUUGGGCGUACAGGGUGCGUAGGCGGUUGUGUAAGUUUGAGGUUAAAGCCCGGAGCUCAACUCCGGUUCGCCUUGAAAACUACAUAACUAGAAUGCAAGAGAGGUAAAUGGAAUUCCAUGUGUAGCGGUAAAAUGCGUAGAUAUAUGGAAGAACACCUGUGGCGAAAGCGGUUUACCAGCUUGUUAUUGACGCUGAGGCACGAAAGCGUGGGGAGCAAAUAGGAUUAGAUACCCUAGUAGUCCACGCCGUAAACGUUGAGUACUAGGUGUCGGGAAUUAUCUCGGCGCCGCAGCUAACGCAUUAAGUACUCCGCCUGAGUAGUAUGCACGCAAGUGUGAAACUCAAAGGAAUUGACGGGGACCCGCACAAGUGGUGGAGCAUGUGGUUUAAUUCGAAGCAACACGAAGAACCUUACCAGGGCUUGACAUCCAGUGCAAAGGCAUAGAGAUAUGCUGGAGGCUAACAUUGAGACAGGUGGUGCAUGGUUGUCGUCAGUUCGUGCCGUGAGGUGUUUGGUUAAGUCCAGCAACGAACGCAACCCUUGUCAUUAGUUACUAACAUUAAGUUGAGGACUCUAAUGAGACUGCUAGUGUAAGCUAGAGGAAGGUGGGGAUGACGUCAAAUCAUCAUGCCCCUUAUGUCCUGGGCUACACACGUGCUACAAUGGCUGAUACAAAGAGUCGCAAUCUCGUAAGGAGGAGCUAAUCUCAUAAAGUCAGUCUCAGUUCGGAUUGAGGGCUGCAACUCGCCCUCAUGAAGCCGGAAUCACUAGUAAUCGCGAAUCAGACAUGUCGCGGUGAAUACGUUCUCGGGUCUUGUACACACCGCCCGUCACACCNNNAGAGUUGGUAACACCAGAAGUAGGUAGCCUAACCGUAAGGAGG